GCUUCCGUAGCUCAGAGGUCAGAGCGUCCGCCUGUCGAGCGGAGGGCCGCCGGUUCGAGUCCGGUCGGGAGCG
rnacentral:tRNA from 1 species